rnacentral:rRNA from 1 species
CAGCCGCCGCGGGAAUACGUAGGGUGCGAGCGUUGUCCGGAAUUAUUGGGCGUAAAGGGCUCGCAGGCGGUUUCUUAAGUCUGAUGUGAAAGCCCCCGGCUCAACCGGGGAGGGUCAUUGGAAACUGGGAAACUUGAGUGCAGAAGAGGAGAGUGGAAUUCCACGUGUAGCGGUGAAAUGCGUAGAGAUGUGGAGGAACACCAGUGGCGAAGGCGACUCUCUGGUCUGUAACUGACGCUGAGGAGCGAAAGCGUGGGGAUCAAACAGGAUUAGAUACCCCUGUAGUCCCUGUCUCUUAUCC